rnacentral:rRNA from 1 species
UACGUAGGUGGCGAGCGUUGUCCGGAUUUACUGGGCGUAAAGAGCGCGCAGGCGGUCGUUCAAGUCGCGUGUGAAAGCCCCCGGCUCAACUGGGGAGGGUCACGCGAUACUGAUCGACUCGAAGGCAGGAGAGGGAAGUGGAAUUCCCGGUGUAGUGGUGAAAUGCGUAGAUAUCGGGAGGAACACCAGUGGCGAAGGCGCUCUGCUGGACCAUAACUGACACUCAGGGACGAAAGCUAGGGGAGCGAAUGGG